AGAGUUUGAUUAUGGCUCAGAUUGAACGCUGGCGGAAUGCUUUACACAUGCAAGUCGAACGAUGAACCUUAGCUUGCUAGGGGGAUUAGUGGCGGACGGGUGAGUAAUAUAUCGGAACGUGUCCAUUAAUGGGGGAUAACUAGCCGAAAGGUUGGCUAAUACCGCAUACGCCCUGAGGGGGAAAGCUGGGGAUCUUCGGACCUGGCGUUAAUGGAGCGGCCGAUAGCUGAUUAGCUAGUUGGUGGGGUAAAGGCCUACCAAGGCGACGAUCAGUAGCUGGUCUGAGAGGACGACCAGCCACACUGGGACUGAGACACGGCCCAGACUCCUACGGGAGGCAGCAGUGGGGAAUUUUGGACAAUGGGGGAAACCCUGAUCCAGCCAUUCCGCGUGAGUGAAGAAGGCCUUCGGGUUGUAAAGCUCUUUCGCAAGGGAAGAAAAGAUACAAGUUAAUAGCUUGUGUUGUUGACGGUACCUUGAUAAGAAGCACCGGCUAACUACGUGCCAGCAGCCGCGGUAAUACGUAGGGUGCGAGCGUUAAUCGGAAUUACUGGGCGUAAAGCGUGCGCAGGCUGUUUGGCAAGUCAGAUGUGAAAUCCCCGAGCUCAACUUGGGAACUGCGUUUGAAACUGCCAGACUAGAAUAGGUCAGAGGGGGGUAGAAUUCCACGUGUAGCAGUGAAAUGCGUAGAGAUGUGGAGGAAUACCAAUGGCGAAGGCAGCCCCCUGGGAUCAUAUUGACGCUCAUGCACGAAAGCGUGGGGAGCGAACAGGAUUAGAUACCCUGGGUAGUCCACGCCCUAAACGAUGUCAACUAGUUGUUGGUGGAGUAAAAUCCAUGAGUAACGUAGCUAACGCGUGAAGUUGACCGCCUGGGGAGUACGGUCGCAAGAUUAAAACUCAAAUGACUUGACGG
rnacentral:rRNA from 1 species